rnacentral:rRNA from 1 species
UGCCUACGGGAGGCAGCAGUGGGGAAUAUUGCACAAUGGGGGAAACCCUGAUGCAGCGACGCCGCGUGAGUGAAGAAGUAUCUCGGUACGUAAAGCUCUAUCAGCAGGGAAGAAAAAAAGUCUUUGGCUUUGGACGGUACCUGACUAAGAAGCCCCGGCUAACUACGUGCCAGCAGCCGCGGUAAUACGUAGGGAGCAAGCGUUGUCCGGAAUUACUGGGCGUAAAGGGCGCGUAGGUGGGCGCUUAAGUCAGGUGUGAAAACUCCGGGCUCAACCUGGAGACUGCACUUGAAACUGGGUGUCUU